AGUGGGGAAUAUUGGACAAUGGGCGCAAGCCUGAUCCAGCCAUGCCGCGUGUGUGAAGAAGGCCUUUUGGUUGUAAAGCACUUUAAGCGAGGAGGAGGCUCCUUUAGUUAAUACCUAAAGUGAGUGGACGUUACUCGCAGAAUAAGCACCGGCUAACUCUGUGCCAGCAGCCGCGGUAAUACAGAGGGUGCGAGCGUUAAUCGGAUUUACUGGGCGUAAAGCGUGCGUAGGCGGCUUUUUAAGUCGGAUGUGAAAUCCCUGAGCUUAACUUAGGAAUUGCAUUCGAUACUGGAGAGCUAGAGUAUGGGAGAGGAUGGUAGAAUUCCAGGUGUAGCGGUGAAAUGCGUAGAGAUCUGGAGGAAUACCGAUGGCGAAGGCAGCCAUCUGGCCUAAUACUGACGCUGAGGUACGAAAGCAUGGGGAGCAAA
rnacentral:rRNA from 1 species